CCCUUAGAUGUUCUGGGCCGCACGCGCGCUACACUGAUGCAUUCAACGAGUCCAACCUUGACCGAGAGGUCCGGGUAAUCUUUGAAACUGCAUCGUGAUGGGGCUAGAUUAUUGCAAUUAUUAAUCUUCAACGAGGAAUGCCUAGUAAGCGUGAUUCAUCAAAUCGCGUUGAUUACGUCCCUGCCCUUUGUACACACCGCCCGUCGCUCCUACCGAUUGAGUGUGUUGGUGAGGAGUUUGGAUUGGCCUCGGAAGGUGGUUCGCCACCGUCCGUAGCUGAGAAGUUCUCCAAACCGCCCCACUUAGAGGAAGGAGAAGUCGUAACG
rnacentral:rRNA from 1 species